CCUACGGGCGGCUGCAGUGGGGAAUAUUGGGCAAUGGGCGAAAGCCUGACCCAGCAACGCCGCGUGAAGGAAGAAGGCUUUCGGGUUGUAAACUUCUUUUGACAGGGAAGAGCAGAAGACGGUACGUGUCGAAUAAGCCAUGGCUAACUACGGGCCAGCAGCCGCGGUAAUACGGAGGUGGCAAGCGGUGUCCGGAGUUACUGGGUGUAACGGGCGGGUAGCCGGGCGGACAAGUCAGAUGUGAAAUCCGGGGGCUCAACCCCCGAACUGCAUUUGAAACUUUUGGUCUUGAGUAUCGGAGAGGCAGGCGGAAUUCCUAGUGUAGCGGUGAAACGCGUAGAUAUUAGGAGGAACCCCAGUGGCGAAGGCGGCCUGCUGGACGACACCUGACGGUGAGGCGCGAAAGCGUGGGGAGCAAACAGGAUUAGAUACCCUAGUAGUC
rnacentral:rRNA from 1 species